rnacentral:rRNA from 1 species
GACGAACGCUGGCGGCGUGCCUAAUACAUGCAAGUCGAGCGCAGGAAACUGACGGAACUCUUCGGAGGGAAGGCAGUGGAAUGAGCGGCGGACGGGUGAGUAACACGUAAGGAACCUGCCUCAAGGAUUGGGAUAACUCCGAGAAAUCGGAGCUAAUACCGGAUAGUUCAUCGGACCGCAUGGUCCGUUGAUGAAAGGCGCUCCGGCGUCACCUUGAGAUGGCCUUGCGGUGCAUUAGCUAGUUGGUGGGGUAACGGCCCACCAAGGCGACGACGCAUAGCCGACCUGAGAGGGUGAUCGGCCACACUGGGACUGAGACACGGCCCAGACUCCUACGGGAGGCAGCAGUAGGGAAUCUUCCACAAUGGACGAAAGUCUGAUGGAGCAACGCCGCGUGAGUGAUGAAGGUUUUCGGAUCGUAAAACUCUGUUGUAAGGGAAGAACACGUACGAGAGGAAAUGCUCGUACCUUGACGGUACCUUACGAGAAAGCCACGGCUAACUACGUGCCAGCAGCCGCAGUAA